GCGGAUAUAGUUUAACAUAAGACAUUAGAUUGUGAUUCUAAAAAUAGAGGUUAAACUCCUCUUAUCUGCC
rnacentral:tRNA from 1 species